UCCGGUUUAACACCGGCGGUCUCUUUAGAGUGCCCAACUUAAUGGUGGCAACUAAAGACAAGGGUUGCGCUCGUUGCGGGACUUAACCCAACAUCUUACGACACGAGCUGACGACAGCCAUGCAGCACCUGUCUCGGAGCCCCCGAAGGGGAAGGUACAUCUCUGCACCGAUCUCCGGAUGUCAAACCCAGGUAAGGUUCUGCGCGUUGCUUCGAAUUAAACCACAUACUCCACCGCUUGUGCGGGCCCCCGUCAAUUCCUUUGAGUUUCAACCUUGCGGCCGUACUCCCCAGGCGGGAUACUUAAUGUGUGAACUGCGAUACUCAGAGGGUUAACUCUCCGAACAUCUAGUAUCCAUAGUUUACGGCGCGGACUAC
rnacentral:misc_RNA from 1 species